UUAGUGGCGGACGGGUGAGUAACGCGUGGGUAAUCUGCCCAUAAGUGGGGAACAACAGUUGGAAACGACUGCUAAUACCGCAUAAUCUGCGCAAGCAGGAAAGGUGGCCUCUGAAUAUGCUGCCGCUUAUGGAUGAGCCCGCGUCUGAUUAGCUAGUUGGUGGGGUAAAGGCCUACCAAGGCGACGAUCAGUAGCCGGCCUGAGAGGGUGAACGGCCACACUGGGACUGAGACACGGCCCAGACUCCUACGGGAGGCAGCAGUGGGGAAUAUUGCGCAAUGGGGGAAACCCUGACGCAGCGACGCCGCGUGAGCGAUGAAGGCCCUAGGGUUGUAAAGCUCUGUUUUAGGGGACGAAUGUUACGGGGAGUAAUAUGCCCUGUAAAUGACGGUACCCUAAGAGGAAGCCCCGGCUAACUACGUGCCAGCAGCCGCGGUAAGACGUAGGGGGCGAGCGUUGUCCGGAAUUACUGGGCGUAAAGAGCACGUAGGCGGAGACUUAAGUCAGGUGUGAAAGACCGGGGCUCAACCCCGGGGUGGCACUUGAAACUGGGUCCCUUGAGGGCAGGAGAGGAAAGUAGAAUUCCUGGUGUAGCGGUGAAAUGCGUAGAAAUCAGGAGGAAUACCAGUGGCGAAGGCGACUUUCUGGACUGACCCUGACGCUGAGGUGCGAAAGCGUGGGUAGCAAACAGGAUUAGAUACCCUGGUAGUCCACGCCGUAAACGAUGGAUACUAGGUGUGGGAGGUAUCGACCCCUUCCGUGCCGCAGCUAACGCAAUAAGUAUCCCGCCUGGGGAGUACGGUCGCAAGGCUGAAACUCAAAUGAAUUG
rnacentral:rRNA from 1 species